rnacentral:rRNA from 1 species
UACCGAUGGCGAAGGCAGCCAUCUGGCCUAAUACUGACGCUGAGGUACGAAAGCAUGGGGAGCAAACAGGAUUAGAUACCCUGGUAGUCCAUGCCGUAAACGAUGUCUACUAGCCGUUGGGGCCUUUGAGGCUUUAGUGGCGCAGCUAACGCGAUAAGUAGACCGCCUGGGGAGUACGGUCGCAAGACUAAAACUCAAAUGAAUUGACGGGGGCCCGCACAAGCGGUGGAGCAUGUGGUUUAAUUCGAUGCAACGCGAAGAACCUUACCUGGCCUUGACAUACUAGAAACUUUCCAGAGAUGGAUUGGUGCCUUCGGGAAUCUAGAUACAGGUGCUGCAUGGUUGUCGUCAGCUCGUGUCGUGAGAUGUUGGGUUAAGUCCCGCAACGAGCGCAACCCUUUUCCUUACUUGCCAGCAUUUCGGAUGGGAACUUUAAGGAUACUGCCAGUGACAAACUGGAGGAAGGCGGGGACGACGUCAAGUCAUCAUGGCCCUUACGGCCAGGGCUACACACGUGCUACAAUGGUCGGUACAAAGGGUUGCUACACAGCGAUGUGAUGCUAAUCUCAAAAAGCCGAUCGUAGUCCGGAUUGGAGUCUGCAACUCGACUCCAUGAAGUCGGAAUCGCUAGUAAUCGCGGAUCAGAAUGCCGCGGUGAAUACGUUCCCGGGCCUUGUACACACCGCCCGUCACACCAUGGGAGUUUGUUGC